AGAGUUUGAUCCUGGCUCAGGAUGAACGCUAGCUACAGGCUUAACACAUGCAAGUCGAGGGGAAACGAUAGAGAAAGCUUGCUUUUUCUAGGCGUCGACCGGCGCACGGGUGAGUAACGCGUAUCCAACCUGCCCAUCACUUGGGGAUAACCUUGCGAAAGUAAGACUAAUACCCAAUGAUAUCUCUAGAAGACAUCUGAAGGAGAUUAAAGAUUUAUCGGUGAUGGAUGGGGAUGCGUCUGAUUAGCUUGUUGGCGGGGUAACGGCCCACCAAGGCGACGAUCAGUAGGGGUUCUGAGAGGAAGGUCCCCCACAUUGGAACUGAGACACGGUCCAAACUCCUACGGGAGGCAGCAGUGAGGAAUAUUGGUCAAUGGGCGAGAGCCUGAACCAGCCAAGUAGCGUGCAGGAUGACGGCCCUAUGGGUUGUAAACUGCUUUUAUAAGGGAAUAAAGUGAGCCUCGUGAGGCUUUUUGCAUGUACCUUAUGAAUAAGGACCGGCUAAUUCCGUGCCAGCAGCCGCGGUAAUACGGAAGGUCCGGGCGUUAUCCGGAUUUAUUGGGUUUAAAGGGUGCGUAGGCGGGGUGGUAAGUCAGCCGUGAAAUGUCCACGCUCAACGUGGAACGUGCGUUUGAUACUGCCGUCCUAGAAUGCGGAUGCCGUGGGAGGAAUGUGUGGUGUAGCGGUGAAAUGCAUAGAUAUCACACAGAACACCGAUUGCGAAGGCAUCUCACGAAUCCGCAAUUGACGCUGAGGCACGAAAGCGCGGGUAUCGAACAGGAUUAGAUACCCUGGUAGUCCGCGCUGUAAACGAUGAUGGCUAACCGCCGGCGACACACUGUCGGUGGCCAAGCGAAAGCGAUAAGCCAUCCACCUGGGGAGUACGGCCGCAAGGCUGAAACUCAAAGGAAUUGACGGGGGCCCGCACAAGCGGUGGAGCAUGUGGUUUAAUUCGAAGCAACGCGAAGAACCUUACCAGGUCUUGACAUCGAUCUAAAAGGGAUGGAGACAUCCUCAUAGCUAUAGAGAAGACAGGUGGUGCAUGGUUGUCGUCAGCUCGUGUCGUGAGAUGUUGGGUUAAGUCCCGCAACGAGCGCAACCCCUGUCGCCAGUUACCAUCAUUGAGUUGGGGACUCUGGCGAGACUGCCUCUGCAAGGAGGAGGAAGGCGGGGAUGACGUCAAAUCAUCAUGCCCCUUAUGACCUGGGCCACACACGUGCUACAAUGGACGGGACAGAGGGAAGCGAAGGCGCGAGCCGGAGCGGACCCCAGAAACCCGUUCCCAGUUCGGACUGCAGUCUGCAACUCGACUGCACGAAGCCGGAAUCGCAAGUAAUCGCGGAUCAGCAUGCCGCGGUGAAUACGUUCUCGGGCCUUGUACACACCGCCCGUCAAG
rnacentral:rRNA from 1 species